rnacentral:rRNA from 1 species
UACAGGGGGUGCAAACGUUGCUCGGAAUCAUUGGGCGUAAAGCGCACGUAGGCGGUCUGUUAUGUCGGAUGUGAAAGCCCUUGGCUUAACUGAGGAAGUGCAUCCGAAACUGGCAGGCUAGAGUACUAAAGAGGGUCGCGGAAUUCCCGGUGUAGAGGUGAAAUUCGUAGAUAUCGGGAGGAACCCCGGUGGCGAAGGCGGCGACCUGGGUAGAUACUGACGCUGAGGUGCGAAAUCGUGGGGAGCAAACAGG